UCCUCGACCAAGACCACGAGCGCGGCGGCGCCGCGGUGCACAACCAGGGCACUGGGGUGCUCCUCCUCGAAUUGUUCCUCCCCAUCCCUUCCCCAUGUCCGAUAAGACAACGAGUGCAGGUACAGUUCAUGAGAUCUUUUUCCAGUUGCUUGCUUGGCUUAGGAUUUUAGGAGGACAACCACAGAGGAGCUGGAAGUGCCUCUCCCCACGUCGAAGCUCUCCAUCGAACCAAUAGGGAUGGGGCAAAGUGACGCGGGGUUGGGUAAUGGAUGGGACAUUUUCAGAUCUGAACCAUAGUGCAGGCUAGGGAUUUCUCUUACAUAUGAGUGAUGUUUUUUGUAGGAGAAAAACAAGCAUAUAGGAGUGCAUUUGUCUAGGGUAAUAGAUCUAGUGCAUAGCUGGUUAGGGAUACUUUAUGAUUUGCUUCUAUAGCAUGGCGAUAUUUCGAAAGAUAAGACGAGCUUCUUUUCUGAUUCUAUCUAUGUCUGAUGUAAAGCUGAGUUUGUAAGGAUAGAUACAUAGGCAGCAACGGCCAGAUGCAGAUUUCGGAGAGUAGAAGCAAGCGCAUGACUUUGAUUUGGCCAGAAGAAUGCAUGUUCUCUGUGUCAAAGACCUCAAAAUCAGAUAAAUGCAUGCAGUGGUUUCUAUUGUGGUUGGAUUGCUGGAUUAGGAGGAUUGCGGGCAGUGGUUUUGCGAUUUUGCAGUUUGUGCCGGGCGACGCUUGUUGAGAUGCUCUAUUGGCAAGCCACGUUCAUCGUAUGUUGGAGAAGUCAGUCCACGGGUUUCCCCUCUUCCAUGCACCUGAUGGAAAUCAUUUCCUGUGCUGGAGUAGCUUGAGAGCUCGAAGGGAAGAUCAUGUAAAUGUUUCGUUGACAAGAAAGUGUAUGUUCCUACCCUUAUUCGUUCUUCCAUCUAACUUUCAUCCAUCCCAGUAUGGUCAGUGGUGUUGAGGCUGUCGAUAUCUAAGUAGACAGCAAAGGGUCGGCC